rnacentral:rRNA from 1 species
AUUGAACGCUGGCGGCAGGCCUAACACAUGCAAGUCGAGCGGCAGCGGGAAAGUAGCUUGCUACUUUUGCCGGCGAGCGGCGGACGGGUGAGUAAUGCCUGGGAAAUUGCCCAGUCGAGGGGGAUAACAGUUGGAAACGACUGCUAAUACCGCAUACGCCCUACGGGGGAAAGCAGGGGACCUCCGGGCCUUGCGCGAUUGGAUAUGCCCAGGUGGGAUUAGCUAGUUGGUGAGGUAAUGGCUCACCAAGGCGACGAUCCCUAGCUGGCCUGAGAGGAUGAUCAGCCACACUGGAACUGAGACACGGUCCAGACUCCUACGGGAGGCAGCAGUGGGGAAUGUUGCACAAUGGGGGAAACCCUGAUGCAGCCAUGCCGCGUGUGUGAAGUAGGCCUUCGGGUCGUAAAGCACUUUCAGCGAGGAGGAAAGGUUGAUGCCUAAUACGUAUCAACUGUGACGUUACUCGCAGAAGAAGCACCGGCUAACUCCGUGCCAGCCGCCGCCGUAACAC